CGAAUUAGAGAGCAAUCAGCGCCUGGACGUGAUUCCCUUCCUGUUACGUUCGACGCCUUUCUUCCAUCACGAAGAGUUCCCAGGUCCCAGCCCUACGCCCCUACCUGCUGGCCGCCGACGCCGUGCACGCACAGACGCACUCCGACCUCGCCGUCCCCUGACUCUAGACAGGUACAGACUACUGAAGUUUGAUCGUCAGGAUUCUGGACAUUAGGUAUUGAGCAUUGUGUUUGUUCUCAUGGCGCCCAGCAAGAGGAACUAUCCAUCGGGUAGCCACAAAAG